UUCUCGUUCAGGUGAAUGUACUGAUUGUAUAUACAUGAGAUAUUCACAUGUACGCCAGAAAUCCACUAUCAUAAAUAAAACACUUAGUCUACAAAUAGACAUUAGAUAAAAAAGAAGCAAAGUGUAUCGCGGGCUUAUUAAUGUUUUGGCGAAAGAAGAACAGAACAAUUUACAUAUGUACAACAACUUUCGCAUCACAAACCUAAGGCACCUGAGGAGAUAUGGAUGACAACAGCAGCAUGUGACAGUAAUCCACUAAUCACUGCUAUCAUCCAGUACAGAAAUAAAUCUUGAAUCUGCACAAACAAUUGAUGUCAUGAAGUGCAAAAACUAAAGCUUGAAGCUUUGCAAAAUAUCAACUGAUUUAGAGAACUAAUUCGGUAGAUUUAAAACAAUUAUAUGGGACAAUAUUCAGGAGACAUAGUUAUCCAUUCAAUUAAACAAUCACGCAAACAGGGAAGAAAAUACUCAUAUCCAAAGAUCGGCUUCUCUCAACAUUGAGAUUUAAAUGAAUGAGAACCCUUAAAUCUAUGUCUGUAUUUGCUUGUAUUUUCAGAGAUGUGCCCGCAAACUUGUUUAGUCAUCAAUUCAACAGAUAUGCAUUUCCAUUGUAAAAUUAUUCCUUGCAGGGUACACCUGUGCAACUAAUCAAUUCAACAGAUAUGCAUUUCCAUUGUAAAAUUAUUCCUUGCAGGGUACACCUGUGCAACUAACAAGUAUUUCUAAACACCCGCAAAAAACAAGUAUUUCUAUAAAACAAAUAUUACCAUCUUAUUACUAACAGCCACAUCAAUGGCCGAGUUACAGAGCACAAGGGAGGAAGAGUGGUAGGAGAAGGAAACCGAGAGAUUUAUCGAGCCGGCGAGGAAGAAGAUAGAAAGGAUCGCC
rnacentral:lncRNA from 1 species